GGAAUAUUGGACAAUGGGGGAAACCCUGAUCCAGCCAUGCCGCGUGAGUGAAGAAGGCCCUAGGGUUGUAAAACUCUUUCACCGGGGACGAUGAUGACGGUACCCGGAGAAGACGCCCCGGCUAACUCCGUGCCAGCAGCCGCGGUAAUACGGAGGGGGCUAGCGUUGUUCGGAAUUACUGGGAGUAAAGCGCGCGUAGGCGGUUUAUCAAGUCAGGUGUGAAAGCCCCGGGCUCAACCCGGGAAUUGCACUUGAUACUGGUUGACUAGAGGCCGGGAGAGGGUAGUGGAAUUCCCAGUGUAGAGGUGAAAUUCGUAGAUAUUGGGAAGAACACCGGUGGCGAAGGCGGCUACCUGGACCGGACCUGACGCUGAGGUGCGAAAGCGUGGGGAGCAAAC
rnacentral:rRNA from 1 species